rnacentral:tRNA from 1 species
CUAUCUAGCUCAGUUGGUAGAGCAAAAAGGUCUUAACCUUGUGGUUGUGGGUUUGAGUCCCCCGAUGG